rnacentral:lncRNA from 12 species
CCUCUCCAGAGCCAGACCGAGGCCGCCCCGCCCUCUCGCGUCUAUUGGACGAGGGAGGGGCGGGGCGUGGCCGCUUCCCGAGAGGAGAGCGCGGGAGCGCGCGCGGCGGCUUUCUUCUCUCGGGGGGCGGGGGAGGCUGGUUCCGGGGCGUGGUGCGCGCCUAGUCCGCCCGCCCACUGCACGCUCGCCCCCGCCCCGUGCGCGCCCGCGCCGCGCGGCGAUCUGUCGCUUCCGAGUCCGGCUCUACGUGGCGCGGGAGUGGCGCCAGAAUUCAAACCAACUGCUGCAGUCGGGAGGCGAAGCCACCGCCUGCUCCGGCCCAGGCUUGCCCGGAACAGCUUGGCCGGCUCGGGCCCGGCAGUGGACUGGAGUCUCGCCGCGCAGGGCGGCCUCGGCACACGGCCCUCUGGAGAAGUCGGGCUGGUUUGUUGGCCGGCCCUGGGCGGGAGUCGCUGCCCAGCCGGCGCCGCAGGAGCUGGCGGGCGCUGUGACCCCGCACGCCCGGAGAGAGAAAUUGGGGCGCAGAAGCGCUGGGGGGAAAACAUUGGGGGAAGCGCGCCAUUCUUCUUGCGGUCCCCGGGGGGAGUUCCGCGCCCCCCGGGAGAGCGGGCCGGCAGCGGAGCACGCGGUCCAGAUUCUGCUGAUGUGAAUUUCAGGUGUAAUGAGCUUGUGAGAUCUGCAAGAUCAAUUUCUAGAACAUGUGCAUCAUAUGACACCUGGCUAACGCCAUUGUUAUAUCUAUUCCUUGGUGGGAAGGGGAAAACAUUCUUCACUUGCCGCAUAAAAGGAUUGAGGACAGACCACUUCCCUGUGUCAUCUUCAGGGCAAUAUACACUAGCCAUGAAGGACUGGCAGUCACUAUUGAAGCUCAUCUUGCUUGAUCUCUUCUCUGUGAAUAAAGUCUUAUUCCAUCCAGUGUCUGUGUGA